rnacentral:rRNA from 1 species
GGCGCGAAAACUUUACAAUGCCGGCAACGGCGAUAAGGGGACCUCGAGUGCCAGGUUACAAAUCUGGCUGUCGUGAUGCCUAAAAAGCAUUGCAUAGCAAGGGCCGGGCAAGACCGGUGCCAGCCGCCGCGGUAACACCGGCGGCUCGAGUGGUAACCGUUAUUAUUGGGUCUAAAGGGUCUGUAGCCGGCCGGAUAAGUCUCUUGAGAAAUCCAGCAGCUCAACUGUUGGGCUUUCAGGAGAUACUGUCUGGCUCGAGGCCGGGAGAGGUGAGAGGUACUUCAGGGGUAGGGGUGAAAUCUUGUAAUCCUUGAAGGACCACCAGUGGCGAAGGCGUCUCACCAGAACGGACCUGACGGCAAGGGACGAAAGCUAGGGGCACGAACCGGAUUAGAAACCCCUGUAGUCC